AGCCUUAAGAAUAGAUUUUAGGUUAUACCUGCCCAAUGUACUAAAUGAAUGGCCGCGGUACUCUGACCGUGCUAAGGUAGCGCAAUCAAUUGGCUCUUAAUUGGGGUCAGGAAUGAAUGGAGUUACGGGGUUCGGCUGUCUCCUAAUUAAUUAAUUGAAGUUACUAUGUAGGUGAAAAAGCCUAUGCAUAGAAAAAGGACGAGAAGACCCUUAGAGUUUUACCUAAUGUAAUAUUAAGAAGCUAUUUAUUACACUGGUUUUGUUGGGGCAACACAGGAGCAAAUUAAACUAAUCUCCUGAAUUUAAUGAACCGAUAGUUUUAAAUAUAGAUAAACUACCUUAGGGAUAACAGCAUAAUUUUAUAAAUAAGUUUGUGACCUCGAUGUUGGACUAGGAAACCUAAAGGCUAGUCGUCUUUAGGGAAAGUUCUGUUCGAACUAUUAUUCCU
rnacentral:rRNA from 1 species